GUAUACAGCGUACACUGCUGUGUUCCGCUGUGUACAUCUUCUGCAAAGUUCAACGGAACUUUAAGUUUUCACAGUUUUCCUGCAGUACCCAUGGAUGUAACGAUGGAUCAUGAUUACUGUAGCAUUCCUGAGCCUUCUUCAUUAGACCUUGCAUGUGCUAAAGUAGAAGAACUCUCUAAUGAAGUGGAGGAGCUGAAAAAAUAGCUACAUGAGCUACACGUUCAGCGUGAUUUCGGAUUGGAGCGGUUUACCGGCUCAGAUGAGGACAUCAGAUUUUACACAAGGUUUCCCAGCUACCGUCACCUGAUGUCAUUCUGGUGGCUAAUCGAGCCAUCCAUACACAAAAUCAUUUGUGUGUCCAGAUCGAAAUCUGCUGCUAGAAAGCAUGAAGAUAUCACACGUGUACUGCCACCAUCAGAGAGACAGCUGCUGCAGCCAAUCGAUGAGUUUUUUCUUUUCCUUAUCUACCUGUCAGUUGGUUUAAAGGAGAGAGACCUGGCACACCGAUUUCAUAUGCAUCCUUCCACAGUGAGCAGAAUAAUUUAGACGUGGACAAACUACCUCUAUACACUGCUGGGAUCAGUGUGUGUGU